rnacentral:snoRNA from 1 species
CUUACAUGAUGAUUAUUCCACCGAGAAUUCUGCAAUUCCGACGAUCUCCAGUCUUCUGUGAGAUCGGAUGUCGACCCUUCUACACUUGAUCUGACU